GGAGUAGGCUCCUGUGGCGCCAGUGGAGAAGCUUUGUGGCAAGCUGGUGGAGGAGGUGUUGGUAGCGAGUGUGAAGGGUGGUGAGGUGUAGGGUGUGGAGGGCCUCCUGGCUCAGGCGUGUAGAUGGGAGCAGGAGAAGAAAGAACAAAGGAAGAGGACGAAGAAGAAAGGAAAAAUGGAAGUGGAAGAAGAGGAGGAGCCAAGCCACAAUAUUUAGGUCCGCAGAAAACGACACGCUGAUUUAUUUGAAGUCAAGGAUGGAGAUUAAAACGGCCUUUAAAAACACCACACCCGUUUUGUCCACCGCCAUCACCACCUUCUCCCAGAUCAAGGAAGUGUAUUACGGACUCACACAAAAGGAAGAGGUCCGCAGAAAACGACACGCCGAUUUAUUUGAAGUCACCACACCCAUUUUGUCCACCGCCAU
rnacentral:lncRNA from 1 species